rnacentral:rRNA from 1 species
GAUAACAUAGGUGCUCUUUCCCAAGAACACAUGUAAAAUGAGAAGGUUUGACACCUCGAUGUCAAUUAUUCUUCACCUAAGGCUAUAGUUCUAAGGGUUGGGCUAUUGCUUAUUAAAGCAGUACGUAAGCUGGGUUCAAAAUAUCGCAAGACAAUUU